UUUUAUAUAGUAUAUUCAUUAUUACAUUUAAUUUCCACUUAAAAAAUUUAUAACUUAUAAUAUAAAAA
rnacentral:tRNA from 1 species